rnacentral:rRNA from 1 species
UACGAAGGGGCUAGCGUUGCUCGGAAUCACUGGGCGUAAAGCGCACGUAGGCGGAUUGUUAAGUCAGGGGUGAAAUCCUGGAGCUCAACUCCAGAACUGCCUUUGAUACUGGCGAUCUUGAGUCCGGGAGAGGUGAGUGGAACUCCGAGUGUAGAGGUGAAAUUCGUAGAUAUUCGGAAGAACACCAGUGGCGAAGGCGGCUCACUGGCCCGGUACUGACGCUGAGGUGCGAAAGCGUGGGGAGCAAACAGG